UAGGGAAUCUUCGGCAAUGGGGGGAACCCUGACCGAGCAACGCCGCGUGAGUGAAGAAGGUUUUCGGAUCGUAAAGCUCUGUUGUUAAGGAAGAACGAGUGUGAGAAUGGAAAGUUCAUACUGUGACGGUACUUAACCAGAAAGGGACGGCUAACUACGUGCCAGCAGCCGCGGUAAUACGUAGGUCCCGAGCGUUGUCCGGAUUUAUUGGGCGUAAAGCGAGCGCAGGCGGUCAAUUAAGUCUGAUGUGAAAGCCCCCGGCUCAACCGGGGAGGGUCAUUGGAAACUGGUUGACUUGAGUGCAGAAGAGGAGAGUGGAAUUCCAUGUGUAGCGGUGAAAUGCGUAGAUAUAUGGAGGAACACCAGUGGUGAAGGCGACUCUCUGGUCUGUAACUGACGCUGAGGUUCGAAAGCGUGGGUAGCAAACAGG
rnacentral:rRNA from 1 species